UACGGAGAGCGCAAGCAUUAAUCGGAAUUACUGGGCGUAAAGGGCGCGUAGGCGGUUAUGUAAGUCAGAUGUGAAAUUUCGCGGCUCAACUGCGAAGCCGCAUUUGAAACUACAAAACUAGAGGUAUGGCGGAGAAAACGGAAUUCCACGUGUAGCGGUGAAAUGCGUAGAUAUGUGGAGGAACACCGGUGGCGAAAGCGGUUUUCUAGCUUUAACCUGACGCUGAGGCGCGAGAGCAAGGGGAGCAAACAGG
rnacentral:rRNA from 1 species